rnacentral:rRNA from 1 species
AAUGAACGUUGGCGGCGUGGAUUAGGCAUGCAAGUCGAGCGAGAAUUCGCCAGUGGAGGCUUCGGCCAAAGCUGGCGGAGGACAGCGGCAAACGGGGUAGUAAGGCGUAGGUUACGUACCCUCAGGACCGGGAUAGCCACGGGAAACUGUGAGUAAUACCGGAUAAUCUCCAAGGAGCAAAUGGUGAGAUUCCGCCUGAGGAGCGGCUUACGUGAUACUAGGUAGUUGGUGGGGUAAAGGCCUACCAAGCCUGAGAUGUCUAGGGGGUGUGAGAGCAUGGCCCCCACCACUGGGACUGAGACACUGCCCAGACACCUACGGGAGGCAG